GUUAUUUUGCAAUUUUUUAAGAAUUUUUUGAUUUUUUCAAUUUUUUAUUAUUAUUUUUUAUUAUUUAUUGUCGUUUUUUCAAUUUUUAGUUAGUAACCUAUAAUAUUGUGUCUAAUUUUAAGUGUCAUUAAAAUCAAAUGUUUUUAACUUAAUAAUUUUAACAUUUCUUAAUUUAAAACGAAACAUCUUCUAUUAUAUUCAGUUAACAAAUUUCGAAAAACGACACCGACCCCGUGACCUCGACACUGUCCUUGAAAAAUCUAUUUUCAAUUAUUUUCAAAUAAAUCGAAAUACUUUGCAUAUAUGCUGUUAGAAAAUCUUACAAACUAUUUUUAUGUAACAUCUUUUUUCAAUUUUAACCCGAAAAAGGGUUAUUUUGCAAUUUUUUAAGAAUUUUUUGAUUUUUUCAAUUUUUUAUUAUUAUUUUUUAUUAUUUAUUGUCGUUUUUUCAAUUUUUAGUUAGUAACCUAUAAUAUUGUGUCUAAUUUUAAGUGUCAUUAAAAUCAAAUGUUUUUAACUUAAUAAUUUUAACAUUUCUUAAUUUAAAACGAAACAUCUUCUAUUAUAUUCAGUUAACAAAUUUCGAAAAACGACACCGACCCCGUGACCUCGACACUGUCCUUGAAAAAUCUAUUUUCAAUUAUUUUCAAAUAAAUCGAAAUACUUUGCAUAUAUGCUGUUAGAAAAUCUUACAAACUAUUUUUAUGUAACAUCUUUUUUCAAUUUUAACCCAAAAAGGGGUUAUUUUUCAAUUUUAACCCGAAAAAGGGUUAUUUUGCAAUUUUUUAAGAAUUUUUUGAUUUUUUUAAUUUUUUAUUAUUAUAUUUUAUUAUUUAUUGUUGUUUUAUCAAUUCUGAGUUAGUAAC